GAUCAGCCAAUAAAGUUAAGAACGCUUCAGGUAGCGUUUUAUGCUCUUUUUUUCUGUCCAACUAGUUUGUUUAACGGUGAGUCGUUGUUAAUAGGUGACGUUUCAGUCAGUUCUCUGUGACUUAUCUAAGUUAAAGAAGUUAAAUAAAGUGCAGCGCUAGCGUGCUGUUUGACUGCAGGACUCGGCUUCGGCUAAACGCAGCGGUUAAAUGUGUUUUUAUUAUUAUUGUUUUCUUUUCAAAUUUAUUUUUGUAUCGAGCUGCAUUGUUGUAAACAAAUCUGCCUGUUUAUGCUUAUUUCUUUCACUCUCUAAGUCGGUUCCUAAGUAAGUUCUCACCGCUGCUGUGAGGCUAGUUUUUGUUAGCGCCUCGGUGGGAAUUUUUAAUGUCAGGAAUCACAGCCAAGUUAGCGGUGGUGAAGCAUUGUGUUAAUGAAAGCUUUAGAUUUACAGUAACUCAUUCAGUAAAACUCUGAACUUUAGGUGUGUGUGUGUGUUACAGGAGCAAGUUAGAGCUGACAUUUCUGCCAAAGCGGGGUCAUGUAUGCCUGUAUGCAUGCAGUAACGGAGCGUGUCCACUAGGGGGCAGUGUGGCAUUGAACUACACCAGAUUCAUUCAUCCAUUCAGUGAAAACCGAGAAUAUAACAAGAUGGCAUUUAAGUUACAGUUACAGUCAACUCAUUCAACCUUAUAACAGAAGCUUAGACACAACAUAACAUUAACCAGGGGAUUAAAAAUAAUAAUAAUAGAAAAAAGACACCUGGAAAAGUUGGAAAAGUUACUUAGUGACCUUAUCCUUACUUAGUGACCUUAUUAUACAACCACAUCAGUGAGUAAAAUGUAUCACAGGGGUAUUAACAAAAUGUUUUAUAAUAAAUUAUAUGUAUCAAAUAAUAUUACUAAACUAGAAUGUACAGAUAAAAAUCAAGCUGUGUCCCAAAUGAUGCACUUUACACGAUGCACUAUGUACUCUACCAUCUAGUGUAUGAAUUUUAGAAGGGUAGUAUCAUCUCAAAUGUUUUUACUAACCGCAAAUAUACGACGUUUUCCAGUCGAUGGCAAAUGACGUCAAACGCAGCCUGCUACCCAGAGUCGAUUUUUCAGAAAUUGAUAUGCUAAGAGUAUUGUACUAGUGAGACAGGUAUUUAAGAGCAAUGGCCAACUUUUUAAUUAUUGUGACUUUCUUAAUCACUGUAAGAUUCCUGUAACUGCUGAGCAAUUUGCAAAAAACGUUAGUAUUUGAUGCUAGUCCUGGUGACCUUAUUCAGCAUAAAUAUCCUCUGGGUGUAUGUCCCCAACAUAUGAUACUUUUACAUAAAAAAAAUUAAACAACUUUUUUUUAUAUCAGUCAGUCUGAUUGCUACAGUUUGUAAUCAUUUUAGUUUUUUUGUUGUUGUUUUCAUGAGGUGGAAUUACGUAAAUCCACAAUUAAAAACGAUUGCUUUAUUUAAAAAAAAAAAAAAUCCAUAGUCAACAAAAAUGACUAUGAAAUGAAAAAUUCAUUUUACUGCUUAUGUCAGUGUUACCUUUUAUGCAGAACAUGACCUCAGUCACCAUCAGACGGAGACAUAAUCGUCUCGGCAGGUGAAUUUUGCUCACAUGAUCCAAAAUCAACAUAGUAAGCUGUGGCUGUAGCUAUGGCUGCUGGCAAUGUAAACUUUCAAGGAGCAUACUUUCUGUUUAAAUAUUUUGUAAAUAUUUUGUAUUUACUGAAGUUUUCACACUCCUUUUUUUUUUUUUUAUUCUGAGCAAACUUAAGCCAAACAAUAACAGACCCAAUUUCAGUCAUAACUUAAGAAAUUUGACAAAAUUUGUUUUGAUGGUGUCAGAGAUCAGCCUCUGCCCUGAUUUUCACCUGUCUGACAUUCAACUGUUUAAUGACAGCUCUGGGAGAAGUGUGUGACCAUGGCUGGGGUCCUGUGUGGAGACACUUAUGUUCCUGUUUUGGCUGGCAAGUGCUACAUCUUAUCAUGUUGUCAUCUGGGCUUUUGCCAUUUCCUGCUCUACUGUACACAGAGCCAUCCAUAAUGUGAGCAGGAAAUGCUUGGCAUCAUGAGAAGAGUCAUCUCGCUUCCCUCUGCUGACGACCUGCCUGCAGUGGGCAAUGGACUUGCCAGGCCGGCUGGGUCCGCUGUAUUUAAUAAGGUGGUGGGCAGCAUUGAUGGAUGCCAUCUCUCCCAGCCAAUUAAACUGAUGACUCCUUACAGACACCCUCUUCACUGACUACUGACUGGUUUAACCCGUGGCUUCAACACAAGCAGUGCAGCAUUUAUUGAUGUGCAAGAGACAGACAAAAUAAGGGCUGUUGUUCUAAAUCUGUCCAGCAGAGUCAUCCCAGUGCUUGAGCAGCUUAGGAAAAGCCUGCUGCUGUGACCUCCUGAGGAUUUUAAAAAAGAGUCACCCAGAACUGUUUGAUAGGUAGACACAGCUUUUAUUCUGCAGGUGUGCCACCUGGUCUUCAGUGAGAAAGCAUCUCUGAAAUACAGCAUGGAAAUAAGACGUCCUACAGGAAAUUGAGGAGCAUGGUUCUAGCCAUAUGUAAAAUAACACAGUGUUACCUGUCACACUAACCUCUUUUCAGUCUUUUAUUUUGUAAUGAUAAGGUGAACAUGGAGAAGUUGCUUGUGAUGGGGUGUGAAGGAAAUUCAACACUGCAGUUCCUUUUGCAGUUCCUCCAGUCUUUUUAUUUACACUGUGUAAACAACAUUCCAUGUGACAACUUUGCUUUUUGUUGCAGUAAGUUAAUAUUAACAAAACAUUUCUUCUCUAGCUAUUAUUUUGGUUACUAUCAGCAGGCCUCUUUUAUCACUCUUUUAGUAAAGUUGUGUGUAAAUAUUUUUGUAGGCCAAAGCGAACUAAAACUUGCCAUCAAAUCUGCCAACUUAUGUACCGCUGACUUUUCUUCAUACUCUUGUAGGUAUGUUGAUAAAUGCCAAUAUCUUUGCAUUUAAGGCUUUGUAUAAAUCUUUAUAGUUUUCUUGUUUCUCAGUCCAUACUGUGUUU